UUAUUUUGUUUUCUACUUCCAAAUUUAGGCCGAAUAUUUGGAAAUUAUGCCUUUACGUAAUUGCUUAAUUUUUAUAAUUUGAAAACAUAAAUAACUAGUGGAGAUAGGAUUAUAUGUAUGUUUAUAAUCAGAAAUAAAGAGUUCUUUCAGUAUUUUGACUAAAUUAGCAAAUAAUGGGACAUUACUUAAAUUCACCCCACCCUUUAGCAUCAAUUAAAGUUACACAUAGAUUAUUAAUUAAAAAACAUUAAAUUAAAUUAAAAAUAGCUACAAAAAAUAAAAACAUUAAUUUUAACGACGCUAACGAUUCCAGCUAAACCCUAAACCCUAAAUCUUAAAUUCUAAACCCUAUACCCUAAAUUCUAAACUCAAAUCCAAACCCCUAAACCCAAACCCUAUACCCUAAUCCUAGACCCUAAACCCAAAUUAUAUACCCUAAAC
rnacentral:lncRNA from 1 species